UCCCUGGAGGACUAGUGGUUAGGCCACGGCGCUCUCACCACUGCGGCCUGGUUUCGAUUCCUGGCCAGGGAG
rnacentral:tRNA from 1 species